rnacentral:rRNA from 1 species
UACAGAGGGUGCGAGCGUUGUUCGGAAUUAUUGGGCGUAAAGGGCGCGUAGGCGGUGCGGUAAGUCACCUGUGAAAUCUCCUGGCUCAACUGGGAGCUUGCAGGCGAAACUGCCGGGCUUGAGUAUGGGAGAGGUGAGUGGAAUUUCCGGUGUAGCGGUGAAAUGCGUAGAUAUCGGAAGGAACACCUGUGGCGAAAGCGGCUCACUGGACCAUAACUGACGCUGAGGCGCGAAAGCUAGGGGAGCAAACAGG